GAAGAAUGUCAUGACAAAAUGUUUUCAAAUAAAUCUUCUUCGCAAUUCUGCAAACCACACGCAGAUUGCCAAUCCUUGGGACUUCAGGAAAUUACAGCUGGAACAAACACAUCAGACAGUGUAUGUGGAACAAGAAAUUAUCGUGUUGCUGUGCUUGUGCCUGUGGCGCCUGUAGUAGUACUAUCAACUGUCAUAGGAAUUUUCAUUUCAAGAAAGAGAAAGAAGAGAAAACAAAAUGGAGGGAUAGAACAGCCACAGGAUGAAGGUAAGGGAGUGCACAUCUUUGUGGGGGAGUUUACAAUGCUGAUAAGAAUACCAUUAGAUGGGCUGUGUGUAGUCUGUACUACAGUUACAGUCUGCAUCGGUUACAGUCUGUUCUAACAGGUUAGAGCCAUUCUGUUCAUAUACAUUACUGUUACAGUCUCUUCUAACAGCUUAGAACCAUUCUGUUCAUAUACAUUAUAAUGAGGGGUAGUUUCAGUUAAUGUAUCAUCUCAUCAAUUAAUCACCACUGUAAAGACAAACCAAAAAACUGGAACAAAACAAAAACACAUCAGUGAAUAUGGACCAAGAUAUGUUCAUGUUCUCAUAGUUACUGUGGCUGUGCUGCUUGUAUUAGAAGUAUUAUCAGUUCUCAUUUUAAGUAAUCUACCAAUCUAUCUGAUGAGACAUUAUUGUUUAGAGUUGACAGUUAUCUGUAGUCUGUGAACAGAAAUCCUCAUAUAUCCACAAGAGAUAUGUGUGGUUACCAUACUAGAUUGUAAAGAAUUAAUCAAAAAAUAAAAGUACAUUUUAAAGUUAUUCUGAAAGAUAUAAACUUUGUAUUCAAGUAAUUUAAUAAUUAAGCAGUAUUUUGCUUUCAGAUAAGAGAACGCAGAACAUGGUAUGUGUAAAAUAUUUUCACAUUAUGUGCAUGCAUUUUUAAAUACAUUUCAAGUGCAGAAUUCCUGGUGUUGAUGAAUGAAAUGAUAAUUUUACGGUUAGUACUGCAUUUACUGAGAUAGUCUCCUCUUUUCUAGGAAACAGAAAAUGAAAACAUGUCAAACCUGCUGCAGGAUGAAGACUGCUUGAUGAUGGCUUGAUGAGGGAAACAAUGAAGCUGAUAUUAGAUGUCACAUGACUGCCCCUACUACAGUCUGUUUUCUCCAACUCACCACCAGCAUGUCGGACAGAGACACUCAGAAAAGAGCUCCAGCCCACCGUGUAGCUCACUGGGUGAAAGGACUGCUUGAGCAGAAUCCGAACCGCGGCUGGCAGCCCCACAGGAGCGGCACGUAAUCGGCGUCGCAUCGUUCCCGGAUCUGAGAGGGAUACAGCAGGAAUAGCCAGCAUUGUUCAUCACUGCUGCAACUGGCUGGUCGCUUGAGCGGCCAUGGCUUGUUCUCUGCACACACGUAUGAGUGGGUCUCCUCGGCCCCUGCUCUGCGUGACCGCGGGUUGUCUGGCAGGCACGUGUUUCAGAGGAAUAUAUGUAUAUGGCUUUCAAAGAGGGGGACCAGACAGCUGAAGAGCGUACAGGGGGAACUUAAGGUCAGGCUGAAAGAGGCAAAGGAGGAAUACAGAAAGAAGGUGGAACAGAAGCUGCAGGAGAACAGCAUGAAGGAAGUCUGGGAUGGCAUGAAAACCAUCACAGGCUGCAGGAGGAGGAACAGUACAGCGGAUGGGGAUUUCGAUAGAGCAAACAAACUCAACCAUUUCUACAACCGUUUUGACUGCUCUGCUACUCUCUCCUGCUCAGUGUCCAGUUUGUCCAGUGGUGCAAUGUCAACCAUAUGCAACUGAACAUUCCCAAAACCAAGGAGAUGGUGGUGGAUUUCAGGAGGAUGAAGCCAACUAUGCUGCCAGUCUCCAUUGAAGGGGUCAAUGUGGAGGUGGUCAGCACAUAGAUACCUAGGGGUACACCUGGACAAUAAACUGGACUGGUCAGCCAACACUGAAGCACUCUACAGGAAAGGGCAGAGUCGGCUCUACUUCCUCAGGAGGCUGCGGUCUUUCAAUGUCUGCAGUAAGCUCCUCUGGAUAUUUUACCAGUCUGUCAUUGCCAGUGUCCUUUCUUAUGCCAUUGUGUGCUGGGGAGGCAGCAUUAAGAAAAGGGACGCUGGGCGACUGGAAAGGCUGGCUCUGUAGUUGGAAUGGAGCUGGAGUGCUUAACAACAUCAACAGCAGAGAAAAGGACAGGAUGCUGGCAAUCAUGGACAAUGACCGCCACCCACUAUAUAACACACUAAACCGACAGAAGAGCAUCUUCAGCAGCAGACUCCUGUCUCUGACAUGCUCAACAGACAGGUCAAGAAGGUCCUUUGUUCCAUGGGCCAUUCAUUUAUACAAUACACAAAACUGGAGGAGAUAACUGGACUUUUCACCAUGAGUCUCUUUCUGCUCCUUCCACCACAUCACGCUGUCUACUGUUUACUCUUUACUUUGUACUUUUUGCACUACCACGAUUGCACAUUUAUUUGAUUGCACAUUUAUCUAAUUUAACAUAGCACCUUAUUUUUAUUACCAUAGCACCUUAUUUCUGAUUUUUUUACUUUUGAUCUUUAUGUGUGUGAGAUAUGUGUGUAUAUAUGUGUAUGUAUAAGCUACUGAAUGCCUAAAAUUUCCCUUGGGAUGAAUAAAGUAUCUAUCUAUCUA